UGCUAAGUUAAGGGGGCUUUGUGUUGUUUUUCAGAGAAAAACACCAAAUUGAUAGUAUUUAAACUGUAAACAUCCCAUAGAUUUUAACCGGUUUUCAGAUAGCUUAUUUAUUAAACAGGCGCGAAAGCCUAAAUUCUGCAAAAAGUGUAUUCGUUUAACAUGACGCAGCCUUUGCUUUGUAUGCCUUAACUGUUUUCAGAGUUUGGUGUAAUUGGACUUAGUGGUUCAUUCAUUACCGGGUGGUUUAGGGUGACGUCUUAUUGUUCACAGGUCUUAAACAUUUUUAUGGGAUUUUAAUCGGUUUUCAGAAUGUAAUUUUAGUUCUAUUUACGCUACAUCAGUGAAACAUACAGGAAACGACUUGUAUAUACUCGCUCUCUCUGCUGGUAGAGCUUGACAUGUGUACCACCAUGCAAUGCUAAGUUAAGUGGGCUUUGUGUUGUUUUUAAGAGAAAACCUCCAAAUUGAUAGUAUUUAUACUGUAAGGCAGCUUGUUUAAACAGGCGCCAAAGCCUAAAUACUGUAAAGAAUCUAUUAGUUUAACAUGACGCACUAUUUGCUAUAUAUGCCUUCAACGUUUCCAGAGUUUGGAGUGAUUGGGGUCAACGGUUCAUGAAUUACAGGGUGGUUUAGGGUGACGUCUUAUUGUUUACAGGUCUUAAACUUUUUAUGGGAUUUUGACCGGUUUUCAGAAUGUAAUUUUGGUUCUAUUUAAGCUACAGCAGUACAACAUACAGCAAACGACUUGUGUAUGUUGGCUCUGUCUGCUGGUAGAGUUCCACAUGUGUACCACCAUGUAUUGCUAAGUUAAGGGGGCUUUGUGUUGUUUUUCAGAGAAAAAACCCAAAUCAAUAGGAUAUUUAAACUGUAAAGUAGCUUCCAUAUUAAACUGGCGCCAAAGUCUAAAUUCUGCAAAAAGUGUAUUCGUUUAACAUGAUGCACCCUUUGCUAUGUAUGCCUUAAAUGUUUCCAGAGUUUGGUGUAAUUGGAGUUAGUGGUUCGUUAAUUACCGGGUGGUUUAAGGUGCCGUCUUAUUGUUUACAGGUCUUAAACAUUUUUAUGGGAUUUUAAUCGGUUUUCAAAAUAAAAUUUUAGUUCUAUUUAAGCUCCAGCAGUACAAGAAACAGCAAACGACUUGUCUAUGUUCUGUCUCUCUGCUGGUAGAGUUUAACAUGUGUACCACCAUGCAUUGCUAAGUUAAGGGGGCUUCGUGUUGUUUUUCAGACAAAAUUAACCCCCAAAUUGAUAGUAUUUAUACUGUAAGGUAGCUUGUUUAAACAGGCGCCAAAGCCUAAAUUCUGUAAAAAGUGUAUUAAUUUAACUUGACACACCAUUUGCUAUGUAUCCUUCAAAGUUUCCAGAGUUUGGUGUAAUUGGCGUCGGUGGUUCAUGAAUUACAGGGCGGUUUAGGUUGACGUCUUAUUGUUCACGGGUCUUAAACAUUUUUAUGGGAUUUUAAUCGGUUUUCAGAAUGUAAUUUUAGUUUAAUUUAAGCUACCGCAGUGCAACAUACAGCAUACGACUUGCAUAUAUUCGCUCUCUCUGCUGGUAGAGUUUAACAUGUGUACCGCCAUGCAUUGCUAAGUUAAGGGGGCUUUGUGUUGUUUUUCAGACAAAACCCCCAAAUUGAUAGUAUUUAUACUGUAAGGCUGCUUGUUUAAACAGGCGCCAAAGCCUAAAUACUAUAAAGCAUCUAUUAGUUUAACUGGACACACCAUUUUCUAUGUAUGCCUUAAAUAUUUGCAGAGUUUGGUGUAAUUGGGGUCAGUGGUUCAUGAAUAACAGGGUAGUUUAAGGUGACGUCUUAUUGUUUACUGGUCUUAAACAUUUUUAUGGGAUUUUAACCUGUUUUCAGAAUAAAAUUUUAGUUCUAUUCAAGCUACAGCAGUACAACAUAAAGCAAACGAC